GUUACACCCGUCCCUAGGGACGAAACAGAACUUCAGCUUCGGGUUUCCAGCCCUCAAACAGUUAAGUGACUUCCUGCAAACGCUACAGUCCCAGCAACCAGCCUUCCAAUCAAAAAAUUCACAGGAGCUGGCCAUGAUGGUGCACACCUGAAGUCCUAGUACUUAGAAGGAUGGAGCAUUUGAGGAGGCCAGCCUGGGGGUAACCUGGGCUCCAGAGUGAGAUCCUGCCUCAAGAAAGAAAAGAAAGGAGAAGGAAGAAAAAAAGGGAAGGAGGGAGGGGGGGAUUGAGUUUGCCUAAUUUGUGAUCAUUUUUCUAGAAUAAACUGUCCCUAGGA